AUACUUCCCUAGCAGGGCAGAUAGCAGGAUAGCAAGGGUAGUUUUCCCAGGGGAAGCCCCAUCCAAUGCACUCCAAAUGUGCUGACCUUUGCAUUUUCCACAAAUGUGGGAAACUCAACUACACAGUUUAUGGCAGUGUGUGUGGGAGGCUUCAUUCACAUU